UUGAAGUGCUUGUAAGAUCUCCUCUACUUUCUCAUUUAUGAUUUGGGCCAAAUAGUGUCUAGAAGAAUACAUGAGCAGGCCCAGUAGGGUUUUCUUUUGGGGGCCAGCCGAGCGCCUAGAUUUGCCGAGGCAGCGUAAUUCCUCAGUACUCCCAACUUUAAAACCCUUCGCUAAGUUCAUUUCCAGAUCGUCACGCUCACAUCGGAAGCAAUUUCCGACGACCAGAUACGUAUUUUUGUUCAUCGGUCAUGAACUUUUACAUUAUUUCUGCAAUUGCCUUUCUUUGAAUCUUUCACAAUUUUUAUGAAUUUGUUCCAGUAAUUGAGUUUGGAUGUUAGGUAGAACUAUUAUUGGUUAAGAAAAUUGGGUUUCCUCGGAGUAAAUGAGUUAAACAUUCCAAGAUUGAUGGAGUAGGUUUUUUUUUUUUUUUAAAAAUUUCUCUCUGUAUUUAUUUUCAUGGAAAAUAGUUGUUGUUUGGGAACGAAGAGGCAACAAAUUAGAGUCUCUGAAUCGCUUUCUUGAUAGCGUUUUCAGUGCUGUACGUUGCCGAUAACGAAAAUGGGGCUGAGAUUCUGGCAUGGGCUAUUGAUUUUUUUCAGGCUUAUGCAUUCAGAUGUCCCAACAUUGUAAUCUUUUCAAUUUUCUCAACCUUGUUCAGGUAGAUUGAAACAGUUUUCCAUAGCUGGUUCUGAUUGAAUGCUCAUGCAGGUUAAGUAGACUAAUUUUAGGUAUUUAUUACAUAAAGUUUGAUGCUUGUUGCCAUUACUGUCUUGGAAUGUUCUGAAUGCAAAACGGCUUAUUGUAGCUUAUUCAGAGAACUUAGGUGCCUGGUCCUUUGGAAUGGACAAGGGCUAUCUUACAUCCAAAAGACCUUUAAAACUUAGGUGCCUGGUUGGAACUUGGAUGUAGGGUACACCCUGGCUGUGCCAAGUGAUAUUUCAGAGGUGCUUAUAGGAGAAAAGUUCUGAUGGGUAGCAUGCAAUUCAAUGGCCAUUUAUACCUUCACGUGGAGCAGGUGGCGCCACGGUUUUGGCUUAUGGGAACUGUUGGAUGGCUAAACUCUCCAUUUAGAAUUUGGUCACUUUGUCUUCUAAUCUAUAUUUUGGUGCUACAUCAUGCUUGACAAGCAGACUCUGUUGUACUUGAUACCCUAGCUUGUUAAGCUUUGACAUUUUAUAAAAAAUGGGGUGCUCAAAUGAAGUUAUUAAAUGAUCUUCUGUGUCAAGUUUCAGUUGUGUUUUGGAAAUAUCAUGAUCGUAAGAUAGAGAUUGAUUUCAUAUCAAGCAUAUGAAUAUUCCAACAGCAAUUUUAAGAUGCAUAAAAGCUGUUAAUCUCACAUGCGCUUACACACACACUCCGGCUCCCCAAGCCCUCUCCUUUCAGGUUCAUCAUUUGCCAAUCCGUUUUACUAUUUGUACAUCAAAUUUGCUUGUUUGUGGAAAUGAUUGCUGUCAUUUGGUUGCUGAAUUAUUAAAUUGUCUUCAGUAUGGUUGGAUUCUCUGCAUUUAUUAGUUGUGUAGUUCCUUGCGAAUACCGGAUGAUCAAUGCAUUAGUCGGUAUUCGCUAUUUGAGGUAAAACUAUGGAUAAAGGAGAGUAAUGCAUGGGGAGUUGUGCAAAUGCCAAUGUGUUACUACUUCCUGCCCUUCGUCAUUGUGUAAUUCGUUAAAUUGACUCUGUUGAAGGAUUUUGCACUUAAAGAUGUUUUAGGGUGACCCUGCAAAUUGAACUGAUGAGUGGCAUUCUUGCUUAGUUUCCUGUUUUCAAUGAUUGCUUCCUAGACUCUAGCUAAUCUCUGAUUUUUCCACAGGGCCACAGCUGAAUAAUCUGUGAUCUCCAUGUCCUAAAUGAAGUUGAUGCAUCAUCUAAUCAUCCAGAUAUCCAGUUUCAGUUCAUUGUUCUGGGAAUGUGGAUUCUGUUAGGACUUGUAACAGUCCAAAAUCGACAUUGAAAUUCUGCAUUGGAUAAUCUAUCAGGUUUAAUGUUUUGCUAAAGAUCUCAUGUUAAUGCACAUGGAUGGUUCAUGCUUUCAAUUUUCAGGUUAAAGCUUUGCAGUGGCUCUUGUAGGCAAAUUCCAAAUUGAACCUUUGCAGUAGUAUUAGGCAUACAAGCCUACUGCAUGAACUCAUAGGACUUAAUACACAGUUGAGGACAGAGACGCAAAGCCAAUGGUGGUGAGGGCCGAACAAUCAAAAUUUAAAACCAAAAAUCAUCUACCCUUUAAGCUUAUGAAUGACUAAAAUGGACACAUAAUUUGAAUGCAU
rnacentral:lncRNA from 1 species